AUUGAACGCCGGCGGCAGGCCUAACACAUGCAAGUCGGACGGUAGCACAGAGGAGCUUGCUCCUUGGGUGACGAGUGGCGGACGGGUGAGUAAUGUCUGGGGAUCUGCCCGAUAGAGGGGGAUAACCACUGGAAACGGUGGCUAAUACCGCAUAACGUCGCAAGACCAAAGAGGGGGACCUUCGGGCCUCUCACUAUCGGAUGAACCCAGAUGGGAUUAGCUAGUAGGCGGGGUAAUGGCCCACCUAGGCGACGAUCCCUAGCUGGUCUGAGAGGAUGACCAGCCACACUGGAACUGAGACACGGUCCAGACUCCUACGGGAGGCAGCAGUGGGGAAUAUUGCACAAUGGGCGAAAGCCUGAUGCAGCCAUGCCGCGUGUAUGAAGGAGGCCUUCGGGUUGUAAAGUACUUUCAGCGGGGAGGAAGGCGAUGCGGUUAAUAACCGCGUCGAUUGACGUUACCCGCAGAAGAAGCACCGGCUAACUCCGUGCCAGCAGCCGCCGUAA
rnacentral:rRNA from 1 species